rnacentral:rRNA from 1 species
AUUGAACGCUAGCGGCAUGCUUAACACAUGCAAGUCGAACGCGUGGCGGACGGGUGAGUAAUAUAUGGGAACGUGCCCAGUAGCGGGGGAUAACUACUCGAAAGAGUGGCUAAUACCGCAUACUAUUAGAGCGGCCGAUAUGGGAUUAGCUAGUUGGUGGGGGAAAGGCUCCCCAGGGCGACGAUCCCUAGCUGGUUUGAGAGGACGACCAGCCACACUGGGACUGAGACACGGCCCAGACUCCUACGGGAGGCAGCAGUGGGGAAUAUUGCACAAUGGGCGAAAGCCUGAUGCAGCCAUGCCGCGUGUAUGAAGAAGGCCUUCGGGUUGUAAAGUACUUUUAGCGGGGAGGCGUUAUCUGCAGAAGAAGCACCGGCUAACUCCGUGCCAGCAGCCGCGGUAAUUC